rnacentral:rRNA from 1 species
AGAGUUUGAUCCUGGCUCAGGACGAACGCUGGCGGCGUGCUUAACACAUGCAAGUCGAGCGGGGAUGUUUGAGGCUUCGGCGGAUAACAUUCCAGCGGCGGACGGGUGAGUAACGCGUGAGCAAUCUGUCCCGGACAGGGGGAUAACAGAUGGAAACAUCUGCUAAUACCGUAUAAGACCACGGGGUCACAUGACUCUGAGGUAAAAGAAAUUCGGUUUGGGGUGAGCUCGCGUCCGAUUAGAUAGUUGGUGAGGUAACGGCCCACCAAGUCAACGAUCGGUAGCCGACCUGAGAGGGUGAUCGGCCACAUUGGAACUGAGACACGGUCCAAACUCCUACGGGAGGCAGCAGUGGGGAAUAUUGGGCAAUGGGCGAAAGCCUGAACCAGCCAUGCCGCGUGAAGGAUUAAGGCCCUAUGGGUCGUAAACUUCUUUUGACGUAGAGCAAUAAGGUCCACGUGUGGACCGAUGAGAGUACACGUCGAAUAAGCAUCGGCUAACUCCGUGCCAGCAGCCGCGGUAAUACGGAGGAUGCAAGCGUUAUCCGGAUUUAUUGGGUUUAAAGGGUGCGUAGGCUGUGUGGCAAGUCAGUGGUGAAAGCCCGGGGCUCAACUCCGGAACUGCCAUUGAUACUGUCACGCUGGAAUACGGAUGCCGUGGGAGGAAUGAGUAGUGUAGCGGUGAAAUGCAUAGAUAUUACUCAGAACACCGAUUGCGAAGGCAUCUCACGAAUCCGUUAUUGACGCUGAGGCACGAAAGCGUGGGGAUCAAACAGGAUUAGAUACCCUGGUAGUCCACACUGUAAACGAUGAAUACUAGGUGUGGGGGGACUGACCCCCUCCGUGCCGCAGUUAACACCAUAAGUAUUCCCCCCUGGGGAGUACGACCGCAAGGUUGAAACUCAAAGGAAUUGACGGGGGCCCGCACAAGCAGUGGAGUAUGUGGUUUAAUUCGAAGCAACGCGAAGAACCUUACCAGGUCUUGACAUCCGACUAACGAAGUAGAGAUACAUCAGGUGCCCUUCGGGGAAAGUCGAGACAGGUGGUGCAUGGUUGUCGUCAGCUCGUGUCGUGAGAUGUUGGGUUAAGUCCCGCAACGAGCGCAACCCCUGCCGAUAGUUGCUACGCAAGAGCACUCUAUCGGGACCGCUACCGACAAGGUGGAGGAAGGUGGGGACGACGUCAAAUCAUCAUGCCCUUUAUGACCUGGGCUACACACGUACUACAAUGGCCGUUAACAGAGGGAAGCAAGCCCGCGAGGUGGAGCAAACCCCUAAAAACGAUCUCAGUUCGGAUUGCAGGCUGCAACUCGCCUGUAUGAAGUCGGAAUUGCUAGUAAUCGCGGAUCAGCAUGCCGCGGUGAAUACAAGGCCGGGCCUUGCACACACCGCCCGUCAAG